rnacentral:lncRNA from 1 species
AAUAAACUCAACAGUUCAUGGGCCAGGCCUAUUCUUGGAAGACCUCUGUCGAAACCAAGAGAGCUCCCUCAGAYGACAGUUGGGCCUGCCAUGAUUUGUUUACCUACUGAAGGUAGGACUAAGGCACUGGAAUUCUUGACAGGUGAGUGCAAAGUUCAUAGCUCCACCUUUUCCAAUAGGUAGCUGGACUGAAGCCAAGACUGGCUGAAAAUACUUGAAAUAAGAGCAAAGCCAUGCCCCCAAGACAAAGGCAUGCCCUGAAUCACUUAUCUCACGUGCCAAGGGAUAAGCUUCAGGUGGGUUUGCCAGCAGACACCAGCCUUUUCCACUGCCUUCCCACACAGCCACUGAUAUAAGGGAUUCAGCUUUGCCCAGGGAAGAAAGAAAGAAAAGGAACUGGAGAUGGGAGAAACCAGGAAGGAUAUUUCAUUCCAUCUAUAAAACCCGCAUACAGGUGGAAGAAAGGGAAAGAGUAAACAUCUUCAUGGGCUUGUGAGCGCCACAUGGCUUGAUCCUGAUCCCUGGCUCUGGUCUGGCCAUUAAGUGUGAAAAGUUGGUGCUCUGCUUCUGUUUAACAGUUGUGCCUGAUUGAAAACAGGAAAAAGGAACAGUGCAGGGGAGACAGAGAACACGUGCAUGCCACUGCCAUGUCCRUUUGCUCUCUGACUCUCCAAACAACCUGAGAAAGAUGAAUAGUGACAGUGAGACAGAAACCUGUGAACAGUGUGGAGAAAAGAAAUGCGGUGACCUCAUUUUUCAUAAGCUCUAUUGCUAUGACAUCUACAUCCCAUCUGCACCUGCACCGCGUAACAAAGAGCAGAUAGAUGUUGACAGAUUUAUUAAUGAGAAGAUUGUGGAAGUCCUGGAGAAUGAUGACUACUGCUGUUACCAUGGUUGCAGGAAUUUCAUUGGUGGAGAUAUCAUCAUGCAGGCGAUGCAGAAGCCCAUGAAAAUUAUCCCUGUUACACUUAUACCAGUCUACAAAGACCAAUAUUUCCUAACCCUUUUAGACAUGCUCAUAACUGCAGAUAAGCUGAGAAGAAUAGUGUUGCUUUUGUUUGAUGCUWCUUAUAUUAGGCCCAAUCUAUUGCAAUGUUGCUUUUCAAUAGAAGCAAAUGACCCACAACUUUUGCGCAAAAUAAGGAAAACCAUAGACCGUCAUAGGAGAUUGAUUCCACUGAGCAGAAGGAAACAGACAGUAUUGAAGGAAACGGAGCUAGAGUCUACUCCGUUCCCCUCAUCCUCCGCAGGCAGAGACUCCCCUUUCAGGAGGUCAGAUAGAUCAAGGGAGUCAUUCAGGCCAUACUGGAGACACCAUGGCACCUUCUCCUCCAGCAGGAACUCGUUCUUGCCGCUGAAGCACAGAGUGCUUCCCCACAGAGAAAUUGAAGAUAUCCUGAAAGAAAUGUCCUACACACCUUUUCAAGAGCAAGGUGACUAUUUUCUGAGAUACUGGGAUGCUAGCAAUGAGUGGAUCAGACAACGUAUCUGUCAGGUGUUGAUCAGAAACAUCAGGAGGGACUUCCUGACUUUCUGUAAGGUGGCAGAGCUGGAGAGCUUGGAGUUGAGAGUAAGAAAUCUCAUCCAAUGCAGCAGCUCUGCUUCUAACAAGGAGCUUUGCAUUCAGAAGGAGAAACUAUAUUGUUGGAUUCUGGCAGCGAUGUUUGUUCAUGUCUCCACAACAAACAACGUGAAGCUGAAGGCUCUGCUGAGGGGAAUGGCCUUUGCAAAAUGCACCGUUCCUUCGGGGGAGAGAAAUUAUGAGUAUCUGUGCCUUAGUGCCUACCAGAAAAUCAGAGUGGCCAUCUCCACUGCUGUAAAAAAACAAAGGUCCUGGCCAAAUUCCAUAGAAACAUAUCUGAAGCACUUGGAAAGUUUCCUUAGGACACUGGAGAAAAGAGUGACUUUCACAAAUCAGAGGGUCCUGCAGUUCCAGUUCAUCCAGAAGCAGCUCCAGAGAGUACCCUGGAUGAUAAGACAUGUCUUUAUUCUUGUUAUUACCGAAAAGGUGUUUGAAGCCAAACAGCUUGCAGUUAGCCAGUCCUUCUUCCUCUAUGUGUGCACAAAGUUGGGGAAAAAUCACUGGGAAAUUUUACUGGAAAUCACUGAGCGCAUCACUGAACAUAUCCAAGCCAGCCACACACAAGGUAAGGAAAUGCGGGAUUAGCCUGAGGCAUAGGCAAAGCUGGU